AUGCAGCCAGCCAGCCACAAGAAUAAAGUUCCCUCACACGGAUUUCUGGAGAUAAUACUCCAGAAGCUCUUCCAGAACAGCCGCCCCUUCCCCUGCCACGCAGGCCUGACGGCCGGGCCCCAUUGUCAAUUUUCCUUUCAAAACGCUCUCAAUGAGAUUUUAGUGCUUUCAGAAAAAAAACUAACCGAAAAUCAGUGGUUUUCGGCAAACUUCGACGCAAUUGUGGAGUUCUUUUCUUGCAAUUUUAGUCCCAACAGUCCAAGAUUAUAUUCGAGUGAUUUAUGUGUUAUAGGCCUACUGUGA
rnacentral:rRNA from 1 species